UACGUAGGGUGCGAGCGUUAAUCGGAAUUACUGGGCGUAAAGCGUGCGCAGGCGGUUCGUUAAGUUCGUCGUGAAAGCCCCGGGCUCAACCUGGGAAUGGCGAUGGAAACUGGCGGGCUGGAGUGUGGCAGAGGGGGGUGGAAUUCCGCGUGUAGCAGUGAAAUGCGUAGAGAUGCGGAGGAACACCGAUGGCGAAGGCAGCCCCCUGGGCCGACACUGACGCUCAGGCACGAAAGCGUGGGGAGCAAACAGG
rnacentral:rRNA from 1 species